ensembl:lncRNA
CAAAAAUAUUAAGGGAGCUACCAUUGGCGGGAAAAGAAGUCAAGAAAAUCUAGGAACUGAAGAUUUUGGUAAAGAAAAUCUUAACGUAAAAUAUAAUUUCUUCUAUUAUGCCCUCUGGCCUAAGAUCAAAGACAUUUACUUUACCUGAAUGCCCACAUUCUAAAGAGAUGAUGUCUACCUCCUUUGCUGUAUGUUGAGCACACGAUAGAUACCACACAGUGCUAGGGAUACAUUUUUAUAAAAUACAUCCGAAUGGAUUUUUAUUUGUUUGUUUAAGCUAGGAAGUAUUUUUUCCUUACAACUGUCCCAAGUUUCAAGAUCUACUUUCAAGUGAUAUGAAACAAGUUCAGAGGAUUUAUGAUAUUUAAUGUACAUAGGGUUUUCUCAGAGACUACCAUAAUCUUCAAUUUGCAUCCCAUAUAUUUAAAGAAUACUUUCAUGGUGUUCCCAUCAUGGCACAGCAGAAACGAAUCCAACUAGGAACCAUGAGGUUGGGUUGCUGGUUGGAUUCCUGGCCUCGUUCAGUGGGCCAGGGAUCGAACCUGCAAUCUCAUGGUUCCUAGUCAGAUUCGUUAACCACCGAGCCACGAUGGGAAUUCCAGAAAUGCACUUUUAGAUACAUGGGUAUAUUCAAAUAAAAACGCUGACCACAAAGGCAGCACAUCUCCUUUAAGACCUGGCUAGAGAGUGAGGCAUCUGUAAUUAUUGCUGUAAAAUCAAAACACUUUCCACAAAUAAUUUAUAAGGUCCUUUCCCCUCUCUCAAAACUUGUUGUUUAAUAUCCUUGAUGUUUGGCUUUAAAGUUCUUUGGUGAAAAGGAGUUCCCUUGAGUUAAAAGCAACGUAAGACAAUAUUCUGUGGAUAAUUCAUUCAUUCACAGAGGCAGAAAGUUAGCAAUAAAUAACUCAAAGAGGAAGGACUCUUUCAGAAUCGCGGUCCUAGAAUCACAGCUGGAAAAAAUCUUAGAGAGUGUCUAGAUUAAUGCUUUUCAAACUCUUCCACUGAAAUCCAUGAGGGAAAUGUUUUGAUGAGGAUGGAAAUCGUGCCUAAAGUGGCCUGUCAAAAGCAUGAAAUAUCUUCGACGUUUGACUUUUAAGCUUUCAAAUGCAAGGGAAUUUUGUGUUCUAGUGCAGAAUAUUAUUCACAUAUAAUUUUUCCCAAGUCUUAGUGGAAUUAAUAGCCCACAAAGAUGAACAGUGUCUAUAGUCUGUCUGUGGGUUGUCCUCACUGACAUGCCACUGUGUACCCCUAAGGGCAGAAAGGACGUUUACCCAACCAUCACCCUCCUGUCACAGAUCACAGGACUGAGGCCAAGGGGGGUUAAAUAACUUGACCAAAGUUAUUAAGAUAUGACUAGAAAAGCUGAACAGGAUCAAGCUCAUUUUAACUUCUAAGACCAGUACUCUCUUCAAAUAUUUCUUUUGAUCUUGGUAUGAAAAUAAGAGCAAUCCAAAUUAGAGAAGUUCAGCUACAGCUCCAAGCAAAUUCCUGAGGCUGUGGGUCACAUCCUGAGCAUGCCCAGCCUCAGUGCCUUUGCACUUGCUAUGCCUUUUCUCUAGAAGGCUUUUCCGACUCCCUUCACGGCUGGCUUCAUCCCACCAUUCCUGUCUCAGCUCAAAUGGUAUCACUUUAAAAAAGAAGUCUUCCCUGACCAUCCAUCCUUUCUAAAUUGGUCCUCCCAUCCCCAGUUAUGCCCUACUACCGUAUCAGUCUGAUUUGGUUCUUUCCUAGGAUAUAGCACAAUACAAAAUUAUCUUAUGUAUUCGUUCCAUUUCUGGUUCCCUUCCUGGUUCCCUUCCUCUUGAAUAUAAGCUCCACAAAGGAACAGACCUAUUCUGUCUUGUUCAUUGCUCACACCAGAAUUGGGGAUUUGCACAUAGAAGAUGCUUGAAAAGUAUUUUUUUUUUAAUUGUAAAUGAGUGGCUCUCUCUUUUAACACCUUUCCUCCUUCACCUCUGCCUGCUCAAGUAUUAUCUAUUCUAAGGACAAUUCAAAUCUUAUUUCUUUUAGGAAGCCUCCCCAGGGCUAUUUACCUGACCAGCCAGUGAGGACACUGAGAACAGGAAAUUUGCCUUAUUCACUUUUACAUUCCUGACAUGGGGGGGGGGGGGGGCUUUGAUCCCAGCCCUUCCCUCCUGUCACCUGCUUGUUUGCCUUUCUCAUUUCAGAUGCACUUUUCUCUAUGUUCUAGAAGACCAGUUUAAGGCUAUCCUACGCAUGGUUAACUGUAUUUUCCAUUAUGUCAAUUCUGUGUCUUAAACACUCCAAUAAAAAUUUUAAUUGUCAUUUCAUUUUUUUUUUUAAUUCCUCUUGCCUUCUUUUCCUCCUGUCAUCCAGGUUCUCUCUUUUUUUAACCUCAAAACAUUCUUUCCUUUGGGCUUUAUGAGCUUUCAGUGAGCGUCUGUUUCUGGUUGAUGCAGGAUGCCUAAGUUAUUUAAGAGAGCAUAAAAUUUCCUGUAAAAAAUUAUACUUGAAAGUACUCUCUUCUUCUGAUCCUUCAGCUUGACGCUUCUUUCUCUUAACCUGCAUUGUUAUUUUGUGGACCCUAAAGUUAGGGGGGGGUCCUUAGAAGGCAGUUCUAUCCAGACCCCUAUAUUGACCAAAUGGAUGAUUCAGAGAGCACUUAGCCUCAAUGUCCGCCAGGGAGUAGGUGGAAAGCCGAGGGAAAACGGGCAAGCUGCCUCUCUCCUGGCUCUAAGAAUCUAGGCGAAUUCAGAGAGGCUCUAGCGGACCUAGGUGGGAUCUUCUCCCAACUCUCUCAAAUGAUGAAUUUCAGAAGUACGGGAAAAACCAUGCCCACCAGUGUGCACAGGGUGACACAUUUCCCAAGAUGCAAUGCACUCUUCCCCCAGCCCUCCUACACUGUGUUCAGCCCUACUGUGUUUUGAAUGUACUGUCUUCAAAGGGACCCUGAGAGUGAAGGGAACAGAAUCUAAGCCUCUUCACAGGAAAUGGAGUAGAAGAAAAAAGCAAGACGCCAAGAGCUGAACCUUACAAUUUGCUGAAUUUAAGGACUUGGAGGAAGACGGAGACAGAAAGGAGCAGCAAUUCAAGAGAUACACGCUAACCAUGUCAUGUCACAGAGAUGAUCAGUAGAGGCAGAGGGAAGGCUGAAAUACUGCAGAGAGGUGACCAUCGGCGGCAGUGAUUUCAUCAGAGAAAAAGUAUGAAUACUGCAUGAUUAGAAGGCCCCUGAUGUCCUUGGACUUUUCAAAAGGAUAACUAAGAAGAUCACUCUGGCAGAUGAUUAAGCACUGAAUAGAAUGAUGAAGAACAGGAAACCAGGGCAUAUGCUCCUUGAGAAAGAUCAACAGUGAAUUACAGGAGAGAAAUAGGGAGUCGUUGUCUACUGCAAUACUGUAUGAGAGAUGUUAAAAUCUGCAAGUAUUUAAACCUCUAAGUGAAAAUAAUUGGCAUAGUUGCCUUUCUGCAUUUGGGAAGACUAUCUCGAGUUCAGAAAACAGUGAGCGUUUUUUAAAAUAAAGGUGUACACAUGGGAUGAGGGGAAAGGAUUCAACCCCAGAAAUUAGAAAUCUGAGAAGAGUAGAUAAAAUACCAGUAAGGAAAGGCUUCAUAAUUUUUCUAACAUGGCAGCCACUACUUUCUUCCUUAACUCUGCUAAACACCGUGGAAUUUUUGGACCUCUCUUUUCGGUACUUUAUAAAAUCGUGAUAUGGCCC